rnacentral:misc_RNA from 1 species
AAUGGAUUACUACGUAUAAAACGCAUUUCGGCAUCAUUUGAUCCAAAAAUUAAUUAAGUCCUGUAUGGAGUGGUGAAACGCGUCAAGUGCAAAAUUCGCUGAAACACUUUGAAACGAAUGAGAGAUGGUUUUGUUAAUGAAAAUGGAGAAAUAAUUAUAUAUUCAAAUUGACAAGGCAUAAUAAUUACCAGUGCUAAGCGAGCAAUUAUCCAGAGCCUUUUUGCUCGACCACUCAACUCUUUUAUGCUGCCUUUCAACAGAUGAAGACAUAGUUUUAAUUGGAGUCGUUUCGAAGAAUGCAAAGAGUCUCUUAAUUAAAAAUUUCAACUUUUGAUGUACUGCAAAGUGAAAGAUGUCUAAUAUCAGUAUUUUUAAAACACUUCAAUAUAUCACAUAGAAAAAAUUGACUAUGAAAGUUUUUUUUAAUAAAAGCGACAUAUCCAACAUUACGUCUUCAUCAGUACCAAACUACCGGUUCUAUCAUUUGUCUCUAAUCAUCCUCCAGCUGAUAAUUUCAUUUAAAAGUUUCUUUCCAGUGCGUGUGUAUAUAAAGGGCAUUUCCAAUAUCUGCACUAAGUCUAGUUCUACGCAUAUUUUCAUAAUGCCUAGAAAUUAAAUAGAAAAUCUCAGCGCCUUGAAUUAAAAUGUUCUAUUAAAAUAGUCCUUAGAGUGUUUUUUGUUGAAUCUAAUUUUUAUAAUUACAAAUAUUUCUCUUUACCAAUUAUAAAUUAUUAUUUAUCAUUUUUCAUUGAUAGAAAAUGAACAAUUAAACAUUGUUAAAUUAAUUAAAUUAAACAACACAUUAAAGUUAUAUUUAUAACAAAAUCAUUAAACAAUCAACUAGAGCUUGAGUGCAACUGGCUCGAUCUUUGAAAAAAUUAAUGUUUGUGCUGUGAUAAAAUGUUUGUCGAGUGCGGGGAUCGAACCCGCAACCGCCGGCGCGUCAGCCACAAACCAGUACUGUGGCCGUUGCACCAAUGCGUCGUAUAUACAAUUUACAAAUUAUUUUAUAAAGCUAUUUUGCUAAAGUUUUCAUCAUUCCUUAAAUUCAUAAUAUCAUUUCAUCAAACCUUAAUAUUCCGGCACUUGUGAGUUAAUUAUAUAUACAGAUGUAUUUUAUUUAUAUGUAAUUUAUUUUAUUUAUAUGUAUUAUGUACUCGUAUAAGUAUAAUUACUUUUACAAAAAAUUUGUAUCUGUAACAGCCGGCUGUUACUGAAACACAGGCAUUAUGUUGCCUGCGUUAGGAACAGACAACCAUGUAUUUAUGCUUAAAAUAAACCUUAAAAGGCUUUCUAGAGAAAUCGUUCAUGGUGCUAACGUUUCUAACUCAUAUGUUAAUAAAGAAAUAAAAAUAAAAUCUAAAACUCUCUACUUUCUCUGAUAUCUUAUUUUUUAAUACGAUUUAAAUUUCGUUUUAUUUUUAUUUUAAAUGUGCGAAAAACUUUCUUACGUUUUCACGUGAAAAUAUGUUACAGUAACUAUGAUAUGAAAAGGAUCCACAUUCUUUUAACGGAGAUUCCCAGACAAAGUAUUGUAAUAUUUUACCUCUAUUAUUAAAUUUCGUUCCACUCAAAUAACAAAAUUAUUUAAAUUCCAUUUUCGUACAAGACUUCAGAAUAUUUAAAACAUCCCAGCAUGAAAUGACUAGACAUCAAUGAAUACUAGACAAAAAUAUAUUACCAUAGCAAUGAAUAACAUUUAUUGCAUGAUAUUUUUAAGAACUCAAAAAACAAUUAGCGUAAAAGGACGCUUAGUCACAUAAGAAAAGAUAUCUUGAUAUAAACGUCCAGUUAAAAUAAAAUAUUAUCUCAUACGAAACUUCCCUACCUUUACAUGCCAGAUUUCAUGUCUCGCUUAUCAGUACAAAGUUAGUUCGCUGCCAAAAUUUACCGACUAGUUGGUACGCAUUACUUAUUCCAAUGAAACUGCAACAAUUUAAAAAUACUAUCGUCAUAAAUAUGAACAUUAUAUUACGAUCCAUAACGGCUCGCAAAAUUAAUUUUUCUUCGGGAAUAUUUUCAGGUGAAAUUAUUUAUUUAAAUGAACUCCAAUAUUUGGUCGAGAGGUGGUCGCUUAAACUCACGAAAGAUAGUUUAUUUUACAGUUUCUGUAAUAAAAUCUACUUUUUAUGAGUACUGAGCGAUAAUGACUGGUUUUAAGCAAAUGACCACGAAAUAUUUGCUGUAACGAUAACAUAAAGACUAAAAUAAUGUUUUUUAAUAAAUAUUACUUGAACACAAUAGGAAUAAUGUAUUAAAUUGUUCGUAAAAUGAUCAUAAUAACGAGACAGAUUUAAGACAGGGUUUAAUUAAGUAUGCCGUAUAAAUACAUUCGAAACCGAAUAGAACCUCAAAGCCGCUUUCGUAAUGCAGUGUCAAAGUAAGUCCCCCUCUCCUCGGAAACCUUCAAAUGUAGCUCACGAAAUACGACGUUUUUCAAGCAGCAAAAUGUAAACAUUUCGCUAAAGUUACCAGUGGCAGGUAUAAUUUAAUUUCAUUUGGGGGGGAAGAGACAGGUUGAUUAUAAAUUUAAUUUAUGAGAGGACUGACAGGACGGGACCUGCUUGUUAUUCGUGGAGCGUGCAAUUUAUCGACUGUUGUCUGACGAGCGGUGACAUGUUUGUCCGUUUAACGUUUUUGGAAGCAGGCUUGAGCACACACUACCGAGACACAUUAUGUACCCACAUUAUGCUUUACGUACUACCGAUAUUAUUCAAACUUAAUUUUAUCUAACGUUCACACUGUUAUCUUUAGUUAAUUAAAUUACUUAAUAGUAGAAGGUAGGCCUUCGCCUCAAAAAUGUUAGGAAAAACUGGUGAGGUGCUAAAUUAAAUUUUCCUGAUUUUUACAACACCUGAAUUACGUAUGUAUGUAUGUAAGUUGGCGCAACGGUUACAGCGAUGGAUUGUACCUGUUGCGCUGGCGGUUGCGGGUUCGAUCCCCGCACAUGACAAACAUUUGUAUUGGCCAUACAGGUGUUUACCGUGAUCUGGGUGUUUGUGUAGUCCUUGUGGGUCACCCCACCGUGCCUCGGAGAGCACGUUAAGCCGUCGGUCCCGGUUGUUAUCAUGUACACCUGAUAGCGAUCGUUACUCAUAGUAGGGAAUAUGUCCGCCAACCCGUGGAGCAGCGUGGUGGAUAUUGUAAGCUCUGAUCCUUCCCUACAUGCGGAAAAGAGGCCUAUGGCCAUUAGUGGGAUAUUACAGGCUGAACCGUAAGCGUAGGCUUUUGCGAUUUCUCCUAUCGACGAUGAUCACGGUCUCGUGAAGAAGGUGGUAAGUGCCAUCCCAAAGGCGUCGCUUACGCGUUUUGCACAGUAAUGUAUUCUGUCUCAUUCUCUCCUAUACAUUUAUGUGUUUGUUUUUUAUUGUGAAUUGUUUCCGUUUCAUCGAGUUUUAAAUCACAACGAUUCUACGGAAUUUUAAAAUGAAAAUUAAAAUAUUGUUACAGUAACAUAGCACGUCCUACAUACUAGGCAUU